rnacentral:rRNA from 1 species
UACGGAGGAUGCGAGCGUUAUCCGGAUUUAUUGGGUUUAAAGGGUGCGUAGGCGGUUUAUUAAGUUAGUGGUUAAAUAUUUGAGCUAAACUCAAUUGUGCCAUUAAUACUGGUAAACUGGAGUACAGACGAGGUAGGCGGAAUAAGUUAAGUAGCGGUGAAAUGCAUAGAUAUAACUUAGAACUCCGAUAGCGAAGGCAGCUUACCAGACUGUAACUGACGCUGAUGCACGAGAGCGUGGGUAGCGAACAGGAUUAGAUACCCUGGUAGUCCACGCCGUAAACGAUGCUCACUGGUUCUGUGCGAUAUAUUGUACGGGAUUAAGCGAAAGUAUUAAGUGAGCCACCUGGGGAGUACGUCGGCAACGAUGAAACUCAAAGGAAUUGACGGGGGCCCGCACAAGCGGAGGAACAUGUGGUUUAAUUCGAUGAUACGCGAGGAACCUUACCCGGGCUUGAAAGUUAGCGACGAUUCUUGAAAGAGGAUUUCCCUUCGGGGCGCGAAACUAGGUGCUGCAUGGUUGUCGUCAGCUCGUGCCGUGAGGUGUCGGGUUAAGUCCCAUAACGAGCGCAACCCCUACCGUUAGUUGCCAUCAGGUCAAGCUGGGCACUCUGGCGGGACUGCCGGUGUAAGCCGAGAGGAAGGUGGGGAUGACGUCAAAUCAGCACGGCCCUUACGUCCGGGGCUACACACGUGUUACAAUGGUAGGUACAGAGGGCAGCUACCCAGCGAUGGGAUGCGAAUCUCGAAAGCCUAUCUCAGUUCGGAUUGGAGGCUGAAACCCGCCUCCAUGAAGUUGGAUUCGCUAGUAAUCGCGCAUCAGCCAUGGCGCGGUGAA